rnacentral:rRNA from 1 species
UACGUAGGCAGCGAGCGUUGUUCGGAAUUACUGGGCGUAAAGAGUGUGUAGGCGGUGUUCCCAGUCUGUUGUGAAAAUCUCCCGGCUUAACUGGGAGGGUGCAGCGGAAACUAGAAUGCUAGAGGGUGGGAGAGGUAAGCGGAAUUCCUGGUGUAGCGGUGAAAUGCGUAGAUAUCAGGAGGAACACCUGUGGUGUAGACAGCUUACUGGACCACUUCUGACGCUGAGACACGAAAGCGUGGGUAGCAAACAGG